UGGGGGAUAUUGCACAAUGGGCGAAAGCCUGAUGCAGCGACGCCGCGUGGGGGAUGAAGGCUUUCGGGUUGUAAACCUCUUUCGCUAUCGAACAAGGCCCGCUUAGGGUGGGUUGAGGGUAGGUGGAGAAGAAGCGCCGGCUAACUACGUGCCAGCAGCCGCGGUAAUACGUAGGGCGCGAGCGUUGUCCGGCAUUAUUGGGCGUAAAGGGCUUGUAGGCGGCUUGUUGCGCCUGCUGUGAAAACGCGGGGCUUAACUUCGCGCGUGCAGUGGGUACGGGCAGGCUUGAGUGUGGUAGGGGUGACUGGAAUGCCAGGUGUAGCGGUGGAAUGCGCAGAUAUCUGGAGGAACACCGAUGGCGAAGGCAGGUCACUGGGCCAUUACUGACGCUGAGGAGCGAAAGCAUGGGUAGCGAACAGG
rnacentral:rRNA from 1 species